UACGGAGGGGGCUAGCGUUGUUCGGAAUUACUGGGCGUAAAGCGCGCGUAGGCGGACCUGCAAGUCGGGGGUGAAAGCCCGAGGCUCAACCUCGGAACUGCCUUCGAUACUGCGGGUCUCGAGUCCGGGAGAGGUGAGUGGAAUUCCUAGUGUAGCGGUGAAAUGCGUAGAUAUCUGGAGGAACACCGGUGGCGAAGGCGGCAUCCUGGACCGGCAUUGACGCUGAGGCGCGAAAGCCAGGGGAGCAAACGGG
rnacentral:rRNA from 1 species